AAUUUGAAUGGUACGAGAUGACUGGUGUGUCACCUCAUCAUUAUUUCCUCAUCCACUUCUCAAGAGCCACGUCCUCAGGAAAUCACCCGGGCCCACUUUUACCUUCCCACUCACUCAAAACCUCCAUGCAGUCAGCGGAAACAAUAACAAAUCAGCACUAUUUUCAGAAGCCUGGAGGGAUGAACUUAAAGAACUUGUUGCAAAAGUCAAUCUGUCUUUUCGAGCACAAUUGGGAAAAAAUGAGAUGUUCAGAGGGAGAUGAUGCCACAUCUGGUCCAGCUGAUGGAAGGUCUUGAAGUUCUCUGACUGGCCUCGACUGAAGAUGGUCGUCUCACUGGAUUUAAGGUUCAGAUGCUCAGUAACAAACUCCACCAAUGAGCCAACAGGGAAGCUUUAGGUUUAUUAAAUGUUGCUAUGAAGGUUUCACUGUUUUUCUUUGUGAAUGCAAUGUGCUCCAACUGAAACUUGAAUUAGAACUUAGAAGUAAAUCCUUCCAUCUGAAAGGAUUUAGUUGCAUUAAUAACCUCAUAACAUUCUAAUUUUUAUUCCAGUCUUGGUUGGAAAUAGAAUCUCUGUAUUGAUUCAGGUAAAAACUGAACUUCACAGCAUGUUGGAGCAAAACAACCAGAUGAAAACUGUGAUGGUGUUGGAUUGUCAGACCGUAAUGUUGCAGCUCAAAGCAGCUUUUCUAGCUCAGUUCAUUCUGACAUUCAGCUAUGAAUCAACACAGCAGAUGGUGAUCCAUGCUGUGGAAGUCUCACAUCUCCUGAUUUAAUGGAGCUGCUUUGCACUUUUUACACUGUUUAUUCACCAACACUUUAUUUAAUAAAAGUCCCAUCUAGUUUUUAUGAGGAAUGUGAUGUUUUAAUUUCUCUGUGAAUAACUGCAGUCUAAUGGAACAGCUGGAGUUGUAACAUCUGUCCUGAUAUUGAUCAUGAAGUAUUGAUCAGAAUACUUAUGGUCAGCAGUCAUCCCUGAAGUUUUACAUUAAAAUCUUUACUUGUGUUGUGAACUUUGGUAAGAAGCAGAAACUUUUGCGUUGCCAUGGAUACAUGAGUGUUAAAUUCUGUCCAUGUUUCCAUUUUGGGAAAUUCAGUCCAGUUCCAGAAUGUGGAGGAAUUUAGUCUCACAAUCACAGACAACAAAUAUUAUCUGAAAGUCGGGUUAUUGUUGUUUAUCAGCACAAUACAAAAAGAUUAAUGUUAGAAAUAUUCCAGUUAAGACUCUAGAAUAUCAUGAUUUAUGUAAAUUUACCUCAAUAAUAUGAAUGUUCAGGUUAAGAUUGUGCAGUGAUAUUUAUUAUGUAAGUUUAGCUGAUUAAAGUUUAUUACUCUGCACUAAAAUAUUAUUUAAAUUGACAUCAUUAUUAUAAUAUUUAGGGUCAGACCCUACAGUAUUGAGAUUAAGAAAUCAAAUAUUCUAUAAAAUGUAAAUACACUGAACUCAUUUGGAUAUAUUUAAGUGAGACUCUACAAUAUUAUUUGACACAAAUCUAUCUAAAUCAAAAUUUUAAUAAUUUUCAUGCCAAACAUUUACUGGACUGAUUUAAAUAUUAAAAUCACUCCUUUCUAAUCCUCUGCUGUACGUUCAAACCUGAGGCCUUAAAUAGAAACACACAAGUAUCUGAUUGAAGGAACUUCUGCAGAGUCCUGGUUCCAGAACAUGAUGAUAGAAUUAUAGACAAACUUUAACAAAAGCUGCCUGAGAGUUUACAGGUUUUUAUGUUAAAUUUCUUCAGUAAUUUAAUGAGCGUUAUCAGCAAAAAUCAAGUGUUCAUUUGAUGAACUUCAUUUCCUAAAACAUCCAGAAUUGGAGCUCAUAUCUUUGGCAGCUGUAAAGUUUCUGCUCCUUCAAAGUUCACAACACAAUGAAUGAAUUCCUAAAACACUCUCAAUGCUGGAGAGCGUUUGUGAUGCUGAAGCAGUGAUCAGUUUUUCUGUUUCUUCUCUGGAGAUGCACAAUGAGGGACGUCUGCAGAGACUGAGAAAGAGUCUCACCACAUCCUGACAUGAGGAAAAAGACUUUAUUGAAGACUACAAUGAGAAAAACUAUCAGACAGCAGACGGCUGCAUUCAAGGUGAGCUCUGAACAUUUGAUCUGGAACAGGAAUUCAAUAACGGCAGCAUGAGCUUCAUUUCAGUCUGUAGCUGCUGAAUUCAUGGAUGAAUCAUCUGGCACUAGAGAGGAAGACCAUCAAACAUCCACGUCAGCUGAUGGAGGUCCAAGAGUCUCACCAAACAACCAACCUACAGAGUGAAGACCUCAAAUCUGAUUGGACGGCCUCCUAUUCAGCCACAUUUUAGGCUGUUAGAUUGUUCCAGAUAAGACAAGUACAAGAUUCUUCAGAGCCGUUCUACCACGAGCCUGACAGGAAGAACUCCAACAGCUACUGAAUGUUCCUGUGGUUCCCUCAAGGCUACAGGAGGAGCCCUACGAGGACGAGCCGGUCCACCUGAUGGUGGCCAGUCGCUGCGGUUCAAAGCCAACACCGACUACGUGGACUUCUACUGGACCACAUGGAGGCCUUCAAACCGGACCAACAAGUUCAGCGACUCCCCGACUCGUGGGUCUGAGGACGCCGCCGAGCCUCGGUCCAGCCGGCCUCCUGUCUGUGGGUGUUUGAGUGCUGAGAGGUUUGUGGAUGCAUGUGAACGUUCUGUGUUGAAACAGCAGCUUUGGACUCAGUAACGCCAGGGAAAAACCAAGAGCUCCUUUAUUUGUGACUUCCACUAAAAAAACUGAUGAAAAUAAGUUUGCCAGGGUUCUGACUGAUAACAGAUUAUUAAAUAAUGAAAAUAAUCGUUUAAAUAUUCCUUUAAACAAUCCUUUUAGGUCUACAUUUCCUUUACACUGACUUCUUGGUAUAUGUACAAGUAUUUUGGGUGGAAUAUACCAUUAAGCCUAAUGUUCAAGGGUUUUUCUGGGAAUAUACCAUUAAACCAACAUUUUAGGUAAAUGUUCCAGGAUGUUGGGUAGAAUAUACCAUCAGAUCAACCUUUUAGGUCUACAUUGGAAGAUUUUAGAGUAGA